CGCCCCGGCGCGGGAGAGUUUCGUGACCGCCAGUCACGGACGCCGAAGGAGCAACACCUCUCCGACAACCUCUCAGGCACCCGGACCGUGCCGGAUCC
rnacentral:ncRNA from 2 species